AGGUACCUACGGGGCGCAGCAGUGGGGGAUAUUGCACAAUGGAGGGAACUCUGAUGCAGCGACGCCGCGUGAGGGAAGAAGGUUUUCGGAUUGUAAACCUCCGUCUUCGGUGACGAAACGAGACGGUAGCCGAGGAGGAAGCCACGGCUAACUACGUGCCAGCAGCCGCGGUAAUACGUAGGUGGCAAGCGUUGUCCGGAAUUACUGGGUGUAAAGGGAGCGUAGGCGGGAAAGCAAGUUGAAUGUUUAAGGGACGGGCUC
rnacentral:rRNA from 1 species